UUAUAUACUAGGUCCAACCUGUUGGGUGGGUCAGAUCCCUUGACUGUCUGAACCUGAACUUCUUAAUAGAUGUUGUAUUGGUAAUGAUUUAUUGGUUGAUUAAGAAGAACUACUAGAACGGUCUAAAUCUCUCAUUAAUAAUUUAAUUCUGUUUUGUUUUACUGAAAAUCUUUUUUAUAGUAAUGAAG